GGUGAACGCUGGCGGCGUGCUUAAGACAUGCAAGUCGAACGCAGUCUUCGGACUGAGUGGCGCACGGGUGAGUAACACGUAACUGACCUACCCCCAAGUCGCGAAUAACCAGCCGAAAGGAUGGCUAAUACGUGAUGUGAUGAUCCGCUGUGGCGGAUCAUUAAAGACUUGAUCGCUUGGGGAUGGGGUUGCGUUCCAUCAGCUAGUUGGUAAGGUAAAGGCUUACCAAGGCAACGACGGAUAGCCGGCCUGAGAGGGUGGCCGGCCACAGGGGGACUGAGACACGGGUCCCACGCCUACGGGGGGCAGCAGUUAGGAAUCUUCCACAAUGGGCGCAAGCCUGAUGGAGCGACGCCGCGUGAGGGAUGAAGGUUCUCGGAUCGUAAACCUCUGAACCAACGACGAAAGACCCGACAAGGGAGAUGACGGUAGUUGGGUAAUAGCACCGGCUAACUCCGUGCCAGCCGCCGCAGUAAAAC
rnacentral:rRNA from 1 species